UACAGAGGUCUCAAGCGUUGUUCGGAUUCAUUGGGCGUAAAGGGUGCGUAGGCGGCGCGGUAAGUCGGAUGUGAAAUCUCGGGGCUUAACUCCGAAACUGCAUUCGAUACUACCGUGCUUGAGGACUGGAGAGGAGACUGGAAUUUACGGUGUAGCGGUGAAAUGCGUAGAUAUCGUAAGGAAGACCAGUGGCGAAGGCGGGUCUCUGGACAGUUCCUGACGCUGAGGCACGAAGGCCAGGGGAGCGAACGGG
rnacentral:rRNA from 1 species